rnacentral:rRNA from 1 species
UACAGAGGGUGCGAGCGUUAAUCGGAAUUACUGGGCGUAAAGCGUGCGUAGACGGCUAUCUAAGUCGGGUGUGAAAGCCCCGGGCUCAACCUGGGAAUUGCAUUCGAGACUGAAUAGCUAGGGUGCGGUAGAGGGAAGCGGAAUUCCAGGUGUAGCGGUGAAAUGCGUAGAUAUCUGGAGGAACACCGGUGGCGAAGGCGGCAUCCUGGACCAACACUGACACUGAGGAGCGAAAGCCAGGGGAGCAAACGGG